GUAGCCAGUGUGGCGCCAGGCCGGUAUCUUCCGCCGCUAUAGGCAGGUGCACCCGAGGGGAGAUCCCUCCUGCGCCUUCCGCCUCGCCCUCUUCUUCCGUGUCCACUGCCACCUCUUCUGAAGCACACAAAUAUCUUUAUAAUAUAUUCACGCAGGGCUGUAGCUCGUCCUCGUCUACACAGUAAUAGAUGAACUCAGCAGUUGGCAAGGCACCAGGGCUCUGAGCCUGCAUCUGGACAAGUCGAUAAGAAAGCAUGAAUGCUCUCCUUUUCAGUGGCAAUGGGAAGUUCAGAUCACACAAUAUCAAUCAACCUGACCUGAUGAGGACCCCACCCUGCUCUCCCCAGAAAGCUUCGCUAUGGUUUUGCUCUUAUUGCCCAGCUGGAGUGCAAUGGCGUGAUCUUGGCUCACCACAACCUCUGACUCUGGGGUUCAAGGGAUUCUCCUGCAUCAGCCUCCAAGUAGCUGGAAUUAUAGGCAUGCACCAUCACACCUGGCUAAUUUUUGUUUUUUAGUAGAGAUGCGGUUUCUCCAUGUUGGUCAGGCUGGUCUCAAACUUCUAACCUUAGGUAAUCCGCCCGCCUCAGUCUCCCAAAAUGCUGGGAUUACAGGAGUGAGCCCUUGUGCUCAGCAACCACAAUUUUUAAUAUAUUUGAGGGAUAUCAUACAUUUUCCAUAAUGGCUGCAUUGAUUUACAUUCUCACCAACAGUGUGCAACAAUUCCCUUUUCUCCACAUUCUCUCCAAUCCUUGUUGUUUCUUGUCUUCUUAGUAAUAGCCAUCCAGACAGGUGUGAAGUGAUAGCUCAUUGUGGUUUUGAUUUGCAUUCCACUGAACAUUUUUACACUUAAUCAUGUCUUGUUCUCUAAGACUUCCAAACUCCUUGAUAUGAUGAAUAUUUAUUACAUGUAAAUGGAUUGAUG
rnacentral:lncRNA from 1 species